rnacentral:lncRNA from 1 species
UCUUAAAGAGAAUGAAUUUCUCAACUCUCACUCGAAAGGCGGUGCGACCCGAAGAAAUUCAAGAGAAGCCACCUCGGGACGACUCGACAAUUGAUGCUUAUGCGGAGCAAGUUGGGAAGCCUAUGAUCGAAGAAGCAUCAUGGCAUUUCUAACUUUGACUCUCAAAUUCAACACGGUAUCCAUCUACGGAUUGGUGGGGACCAGUUGAUGGACUGAUGCAGAAGCCGGUCAUCCAAAAACCAGACACGACGGAAUACAAAUAAGUUCGGAUAUAAUUUACAUAAAAUUGAUGAAAUUUCGUCGUUCAACUAAGCCAAGCCCGCAACCUCAAAGUAAUUAUAGAAGAUGUCAUAAUUCAUUCAGACAUAGGAUGCAAAUAUCUCUAGUACUACAAUAGUUUAGAUUAAAAUAGAUUAAAAGAGAUAACUGGAUGUUCAACAACUUGUUCGAAUUCAUCGCUUCCAAAUGCAAUGAUACUAUAAUUAGGACCAACACAUGUCGUCCCACACAAGCUGUCCCUUGUGGUUCAUCCAACAAUGUAUGUGUGUGAAUGACCUGCCCUCGGUCAUGUAGUGCAUCCCGGUAGAGCGU